GGCAGCAGCUAAGAAUAUUCCGCAAUGGACGAAAGUCUGACGGAGCGACGCCGCGUGGAUGAUGAAGGCCGGAAGGUUGUAAAAUCCUUUUAUGACUGAGGAAUAAGCAGUGUGAGAGAAACGCAUUGUGGUGACUGUAGGUCAUGAAUAAGCAACGGCUAAUUACGUGCCAGCAGCCGCGGUAACACGUAAGUUGCGAGCGUUGUUCGGAAUUAUUGGGCGUAAAGGGCAUGUAGGCGGUUCUGCAAGUCUGGUGUGAAAUACCGGGGCUCAACCUCGGAACUGCGUUGGAAACUGCAGGACUUGAGUCGCUGAGGGGCAGCCAGAAUUCCAGGUGUAGGGGUGAAAUCUGUAGAUAUCUGGAAGAAUACCAAUGGCGAAGGCAGGCUGCCAGCAGAUGACUGACGCUGAGGUGCGAAGGUGCGGGGAGCAAACAGGAUUAGAUACCCUGGUAGUCCGCACAGUCAACUAUGUACACUAGGUGUCCGCACAUGAGUGUGGGUGCCGAAGCAAACGCGAUAAGUGUACCGCCUGGGGAGUAUGCCCGCAAGGGUGAAACUCAAAGGAAUUGACGG
rnacentral:rRNA from 1 species